GCUCAACCGAAGAAGUGCAUCGGAAACUGGGAAACUUGAGUGCAGAAGAGGACAGUGGAACUCCAUGUGUAGCGGUGAAAUGCGUAGAUAUAUGGAAGAACACCAGUGGCGAAGGCGGCUGUCUGGUCUGUAACUGACGCUGAGGCUCGAAAGUAUGGGUAGCAAACAGGAUUAGAUACCCUGGUAGUCCAUACCGUAAACGAUGAAUGCUAAGUGUUGGAGGGUUUCCGCCCUUCAGUGCUGCAGCUAACGCAUUAAGCAUUCCGCCUGGGGAGUACGGCCGCAAGGCUGAAACUCAAAGGAAUUGACGGGGGCCCGCACAAGCGGUGGAGCAUGUGGUUUAAUUCGAAGCUACGCGAAGAACCUUACCAGGUUUUGACAUACUAUGCAAAUCUAAGAGAUUAGACGUUCCCUUCGGGGACAUGGAUACAGGUGGUGCAUGGUUGUCGUCAGCUCGUGUCGUGAGAUGUUGGGUUAAGUCCCGCAACGAGCGCAACCCUUAUUAUCAGUUGCCAGCAUUAAGUUGGGCACUCUGGUGAGACUGCCGGUGACAAACCGGAGGAAGGUGGGGAUGACGUCAAAUCAUCAUGCCCCUUACGACCUGGGCUACACACGUGCUACAAUGGAUGGUACAACG
rnacentral:rRNA from 1 species